rnacentral:rRNA from 1 species
GACGAACGCUGGCGGCGUGCUUAACACAUGCAAGUCGAACGGAAAGGCCCAGCUUGCUGGGUGCUCGAGUGGCGAACGGGUGAGUAACACGUGGGUGAUCUGCCCCUAACUUCGGGAUAAGCUUGGGAAACUGGGUCUAAUACCGGAUAGGACAAUCGUUUAGUGUCGGUGGUGGAAAGUUUUUUCGGUUAGGGAUGAGCCCGCGGCCUAUCAGCUUGUUGGUGGGGUAAUGGCCUACCAAGGCGUCGACGGGUAGCCGGCCUGGGAGGGUGGACGGCCACAAUGGGACUGAGAGACGGCCCAGACUGCUACGGGAGGCAGCAGUGGGGAAUAUUGCACAAUGGGCGCAAGUCUGAUGCAGCGACGCCGCGUGGGGGAUGACGGCCUUCGGGUUGAAAACCUCUUUCGACAGGGACGAAGCUUUGGUGACGGUACCUGAAGAAGAAGCACCGGCUAACUACGUG